GGCAGUUUUUGGGUGACACACCCCGGAAUCGGGCUCCCUCCUCUCUGUCUCCGGGAUGCAUCACCCGAGAACUGCU
rfam:Myotis lucifugus cont2.57969, whole genome shotgun sequence.